UCGGACAGAGACAUGCUCCGAAUGCCUUGGUUGAAGUGGAGCAGAGGGUCAGGUGAGGGCGGAGAGAUACAGGCUGUCUGCCUGCUUUUAACAUUGUUUACGGACACCUCACCUUAUAUGACGCCCAUCGCAAAGAAGUCAUCAGGUAGAACAUUAUCAAACUUCUGGGUCGGAGCUGUAUGUAUAAGGAGCAUCAAUUAUUGCCCUUACACUUACAGCAAUAGGCCAUCUACCAAAACCUGUUUCAGCAUUGAAGGUUACUUCAAUUUGUUUUGUGCAAAGAACAGAGGACCCUGUGCAAAAACGCAAACAAACUUUCGGCAGGACGAGAGGCGCACGGGAAGGCCUCGGCAGGGAGGAUGAGGAGAGGGAGGAAGAGGAGAGGGAGAUGGUGACGGUGGACGAGAGGCGCACAGGGAAGUCCGAGAAGUGCAGCAGAGAGCGGAUCCUGAAAUAUGAGGCCUGGUUUGAAAAUAUGUUCAACUCAGGGUUUUGGUCAAAGUCUGAAGAGCUUUGAAAUGCGGAAAGGGCUAGCAGGACAUGCUAUCCGAAAAUGGCCGAGUGAUCAGGGUUGCCCAAAAGUAGCCCAAUUCUGCAGGAAUAAAAGGUAAAAAAACAAGGAAAUGCUGCAGCUUCACUUCUAUUUCUAUGCAAACAAUGGUCUCUAAUACAUAAUGAACAUUUCUUUUAAAAGACAUGAAGAUUUUAGUUAAAGGAAAUCAAAUGUCAGUUAUUUGAUGAUGACUAUGUUUUUAUGGGAUGAAAAAUAGGGAAAAUAGUUAAAUUAGUGUCUAAACUAUCAAGUCUAACUCUAAAUAUUAAAAAAAACACUCUUUUUCCACUUAAAGAUGAAUAUAUCCAUACAAAAAAAUUCAAGGUAUGUCAUGAAUUUUGAAAUGUGAUUGUGUAAAAAGUAUGAAAGAUAUGAAAAAGUUGAAUUAAUGUGAGAAAGUCUGUGAAUGUAUGUAUUAGUGGGAAGAGCGUAAAGAUGAGGGAGUUUGAAGUGCGUUCUGCCAUUGUAACUUAACUUCAAAGUUCAAUAAAGUUUUAAGCCAGAAUGUAUGAAACGUGGAACAUUUUGACAUUUUUGGGAGUUUCUAGCUGAAAGUAUGAUGUAAUAGAUAAGAGCUGAAAAAGCUUGAAAAACAUUCUGAAACAUCCUUUGUGACAUCACUUCCUGUUGGAACCAGUUGGCUCGAUCCUUUGAUCUGAACUUCCGUCAGUGACAUCGUUGUGAUGUCAUGACGCAAGUUUAUAAAUACACGUGGCUUUACAGAGAAAUAGUUCAACAGUUUACAAGUAUUUGUUACUUACAAUCGCCAAAAAGCAACCAAAAUGGACAACCGACAGCUGAUCUAUGAGAUUGAGAUUCUCCGCCAGACUAUGGAUAAACAUAUAAGUCACAAUGAGAGCCUGUGUAGCAAAAACAGCUUACUUAAGCUACGCAAUGUGCAACUCGCUCGUGAAAAUAAUCACCUGUCCAUUCAGAAUGGGAAGCUGAAGAAGGACAAUGGGGAGCUGAAGAAGAAAAAUAAAAAUGGAGAGCCGAAGAAGGAAAAUGGGGAGCCGAAGAAG